rnacentral:lncRNA from 12 species
CUGUAAAAUGAGGUGAGAGGACAUAGUUUUCAGUCACUUGAGGAAUUAUUUCCCUGCUGAGAAAAGGGCAAACAGUAAAUAAUUUCAUUUUAUUUAAUACUAAAGAUACAAAAGAUGUCUCUUUUUAAUUAGUUUCUAAAACACUGUCCAAAAAUCCUCUUGGCUCUAGGGCAAAUCUUUUAAUAGAACCAAAAAAUAGCAAAAGAGGAAGAUAAGAAAAGGAAGAAAUACUUUUUGCCCCAAAACUGGUCUCUGGCUUGUGUUUAAUUCAAGGAGUACUCUCUGAGGAAAGGAGGUGGGAAGAACGGUAAAUGGCUAAAGUCCACAGUCCUCUUCCAUCACGAGGAACUCUGGGAGAUAAUGAGACAGAAAUGCUUGACAGGUCUCCCCAAGGACAAGGCCAACAAGCUGCUUCAAGUGGCAGCUCCAAAGGUACAUGCUACACAAAGUAGAAUUUAUUGCUCCGCCUCUUAAAUCUGGACUGGUCUAAGGGCUUGCUUUGACCAAGAGGGGGCAAUGCAAGUAAAGGGUCUUCACUUUACUGGGAUCUCUGAGUCAGGGCUUUCAAAGAUCUUGGAGCUUCUGCUUUAGAAGCCAGCCAGCAGGUAAAGAAGCUCAGCUGGAUGAUCAAGGUGAUGAGAAUCCAGAUGGAGAAAGAAAGACCCAGAAAGCCUGAGCCAUUCCAGUCACCAGCUGAGGUACCAGAUAUGUGAAAGAAGCCGUCGUGAAUGUUCUGGUCCAGCAGAACUCCCAGCUGAACGCAGCCACACAAGUGAUCCCUAAGAGGAGUGUUUCCAUGGAAGGAGACACAGAAAAGGGAAAGCAGCCAAAGUUAGCGAGCCCCUUACCAGAGCUAGAGGCUGAAAAUCUCCAAAAAAGGGCACAAAAUACACACUUUAGAAGGUUCCAGGAUGUGAGAAAGCCAGAAUGAAUAUACUCAUCGCUUCGUGUAUAUGUAUGAAUGUGUGCUGGAAAAAAAGGGUGGAAAAUGCUUCCCGAUGUAUAUUCCUGGAAACUUGAGUUUUCUGGAGGAAGGCAACAUAACAAAUGCACUGAUUAAGGCUUACAGUUGAAUCCACACACAUUCCUUGUGAAAAGGAAUUCACAGGCCAUGUUCUUUGCCAGGUUAGAAGCCAGACAAGCAGCAAUCCCCUCAGAUUGAAGGGAAUCCCCCCCACCACCACCACCAG